CGCUUCUUGAAGAACUUGUUAAAGCCGAGAUUCCAACACUGGGUGUGCGUGUCGAUCGCAAAUCAGUGGCUGCAUAUUCAGAUCUUCUUCUGAAGUACAAAGUAACUGACAAGCCAGUAACCGUGGAUGCGAUUGUCUAUGCCGAUGCCCCAUAAAGCUAAUGUCACUCAGCUUCGGCAGCAAUCCAUGUCAGCCCCGCGAAACGCGGCAUUGGAGAUGAACGGCCGUAUCCAGGUAGAUAACGUAAGC
rnacentral:misc_RNA from 1 species